rnacentral:lncRNA from 1 species
AAUAAUUCUAUGCCCAUUGUCCAAAAGUCAGGGAUAAUUAAACAUUUUUUUAUAUGGGUUGACUUUUGCUUCAAUUGAGUGUAAGGACUUUGUGGUUAUUAUAUAAACUGUCAUCAUCAUAUUUAUGAAAGGAUAAUAUAAAAAAUAAAAGAUAGUAUAAGAAUAAAUUGAGAGAAACACUUGAGGAAUUUUCUCUUCAUUAACCUGUUUCUUCACUUAAAAAAAAACUGGCUCAAUGACAAAUUUCUUAAGAUUAAGGAAUUUUAAGAUUAAGGAUCUACAAAAUGAACAUAUGUUGUUUAGUUAUUACCAGUCCUGUUUAUGAUUGCUAUGUUUCUUGAAGUCAUCCCAUAACUUUCCCAAUCUAGAGAAAGCUUUGCUUUUCUGUUCUUUGUAAUUUCUUCCUAGGACAUUUGGUUUCAGUACCAAGCUCUGCUAUUUACUAGCUAUGAAAUCCUAAGCCUAUUAUCCGCUCAGCCUGAAUAUCUCCAAGCUGAAAACUGAAAAGAUAGGGGACUUCUGGAUAAACAUGGCUGCAACCUAGACGUGAAUCGCUUCCUCUCCCUGGCACCGAACGAAAUGAACUACCUCAAAAGAGCAUAAAAUCAUCUUUGGAAGAACGGAGGGUCUCUCCAGUACCCCACAGAAAUAAAGCUCAUUUUACAGGUAAGGAAACGGGCAAACAGUUAAGUGACUUGCCCAGGGUCACAUGGCUGGUGGCUUUGAACUCAUGA